rnacentral:tRNA from 2 species
GGGGGUGUAGUUAAGUUGGUUAUAACGUCUGCCUGUCACGCAGAAGGCCGAGGGUUCGAGUCCCUUCACUCCCGCCA